rnacentral:lncRNA from 1 species
AUUGGUGUCAUCUGGUAUCUCAAUACUUGCUGCAUUUUCUUCCAUUAGAAAGAUUGGUUAUUUGUGAGAUACGUUUUUCUUAUAUCCUUUGCUUUUGUGUUGAUGUAAGACGAAGGAAUGACAGAUCUUUGUGAAUGCCACUGCUGAAUUGGAGCUUUAGCCAUACAAGGAGGAACACCUGAGCUGUAAGAGCUUCAAUUUGUUUUACUGAAUGCUUGCUUUAUACAAGUGUUUGAACUGAUAUUUGGUGAAAAUGCAAGUUGUCAACAGAGUUGUCUACACAAAUGCAGAGUAAUCUUUUGAGGCCCUUUCUAGGUUCUGGCAAUUCAGUCUUGGUGGAGAAGUAAGUUACCUUUGACUUUGACUUCUUAUUAUGAUUUUAGGUUCAUAUGAUGAUUUUCAGCAUCCUUAAUCUUUUUUUUCCCAUAUUUAUCAAUGGGAUUAUAUAAAUCCAAAAUUUGCAACAGAUCUCAAAACUUGUGAGAUGAACACAUGGAGCUGGAGGCAACCUUUGACAGUUUUCAUUCUCAAGCUAGAUUGAGUUAGUUUCAUGGUAGAGGCAUUGGAGUUUGGGCUGAAAUUUCUUUGUAUGUUACUGCCUCUCAUGUUGUUUGAGCUUUGCAGUGAAGAGAUAUUAAGAUUCAUACUUGAAUUCUUUUUGGCAAUUGACUUGUUAUUGGAUGGU